AUGGUUGCAAAGUUAUCAACUCUCUUCAGUUUCUGUCUAGAGGAACAGAUGAGAGAGAUAAAAAGGGUAAGUCUACGACAGCAGAUUUAUGUGGGCAAGGAUAGCCUGCAAUUUUCAGAAUAAAAAGAAGUGUCAGUUUCUGCCUGACUUUUGGUUUUCCUAUGGGAAACUCUGCAGAGUACACUUGUUAUCUAUGCCUGCAGGCAGCAAAACCAUUUACUUCCUUGUACUUGAUGGUUAAAGGCUUGUAACUUUUCUAUAUAAAUGUGAAAUAUGUACGCAUAAGUAAUUAAGGCGCUACAAUUUUUGUUUGGUGUUCAAACUUGUUGCCAUAUGCAGUAAAUAUUGGAAAGCUUUAUCUGUUCAUACUGUUGCCAGAUCUAGUGGUUGUUGGGCCCAUUUAUCAAUUGUGCGAUAGGAAUUGUAUGGAAGACUCUUGCAAUAUAGGUAGCAGAUGAAUUGCUGGAACUUCUUAAUUUUUAGAGAGGUUCAGGUUAUGGGCCCUGAUGUCCUUGAUGACAGCUGUCAAUAUCUGUUGUCUUUGCAGAGCUUGUUUUCUCUGUCUUUUCUUUGGUCUUGCAUCUCUGCUUUUGCUUUCUGUUUUUGCCGUUACAUUUGUUGUAGAAUUCUGGCAAGCUCUGAACUGUCUUGAGUGUGCAAAACUAGUGGUAUCUUCCUCUGCAAUUUCUGUUGAAAUGUAAAGAUGAGGAAGGUGGACUUACCAUUUCUGCAGAAAAGUCAUGUUUGAAGGAUUAGCUGCCUGAAACCUGUUGGAGAAAGUCGGAUGAGCAUUUCAUUCUGAAUAUGUAGCAUUGAAAAUGAUUGUAUGUGCUACUUUUCUUAGUAUCUGUCUGCAACAUUUUACUGCCAUGUAAGCUAUCAUGAUAUCCAGGUAAUGUUGGAUGUUUUAUCUGCUGUCCCUCUCUCUCUCCCCCACAACCCAACCCCCCCCUCCCAAAAAAAAAACC
rnacentral:misc_RNA from 1 species